rnacentral:rRNA from 1 species
GUGGGGAAUCUUCCGCAAUGGGCGAAAGCCUGACGGAGCAACGCCGCGUGAGUGAAGAAGGCCUUCGGGUUGUAAAGCUCUGUCUUUGGGGACGAAAGAAAUGACGGUACCCAAGGAGGAAGCCACGGCUAACUACGUGCCAGCAGCCGCGGUAAUACGUAGGUGGCAAGCGUUGUCCGGAAUUAUUGGGCGUAAAGGGCGCGUAGGCGGAUAUUUAAGUCAGAAGUGAAAUAUGCGGGCUUAACCCGGAUCAGCAUCUGAUACUGGAUAUCUUGAGUGCAGGAGAGGACAGUGGAAUUCCUAGUGUAGCGGUGAAAUGCGUAGAUAUUAGGAGGAACACCAGUGGCGAAGGCGGCUGUCUGGACUGUAACUGACGCUGAGGCGCGAAAGCGUGGGGAGCAAACAGGAUUAGAAACCCCGGUAGUCC